ACCUGGGUGGCUCAGUUGGUUGAGUGUCUGACUUUGGCUCAGGUCAUGAUCUCACAGUCUGUGGGUUCGAGCCCCACGUCAGGCU
rnacentral:tRNA from 1 species